rnacentral:lncRNA from 1 species
UUAGAGCCAAUUGCGAGACCGGAAGCUCCCUUCCUUCCCCAUCCUUAGGUCAAAUCUUGGGUAGUGACCGUGUCCCGGAAGAGGUGGAUCUUUUUUGCUCUGGGUUUGGAGCUUGUUGGAAAAGCAUGUGAUCCUUAUCAUCUCAUAUACUCUCUCGCUGUGAUGCCGGCCAUCAGGCUAUGAUGCAGUGAAGUAGUCCUUCAUCAGAGUUGGUGACAUGCUGAGUCACCAUGGGUGAGUAAAACCUCUUCAUUACAA